GAUGAACGCUGGCGGCGUGCUUAACACAUGCAAGUCGAGCGAUGAAGUUUCCUUCGGGAAACGGAUUAGCGGCGGACGGGUGAGUAACACGUGGGCAACCUGCCUCAUAGAGUGGAAUAGCCUUCCGAAAGGAAGAUUAAUACCGCAUAACGUUGAAAGAUGGCAUCAUCAUUCAACCAAAGGAGUAAUCCGCUAUGAGAUGGACCCGCGGCGCAUUAGCUAGUUGGUGGGGUAACGGCCUACCAAGGCGACGAUGCGUAGCCGACCUGAGAGGGUGAUCGGCCACAUUGGGACUGAGACACGGCCCAGACUCCUACGGGAGGCAGCAGUGGGGAAUAUUGCACAAUGGGGGGAACCCUGAUGCAGCAACGCCGCGUGAGUGAUGAAGGUUUUCGGAUCGUAAAGCUCUGUCUUUGGGGAAGAUAAUGACGGUACCCAAGGAGGAAGCCACGGCUAACUACGUGCCAGCCGCCGCGGUAAUAC
rnacentral:rRNA from 1 species